AACGCACAUUGCGCUUCCUGGUAUUCCGGGGAGCAUGCCCGUUUCAGAAUCAUUACAAUCUCACAACCCCUUUGCUUUCGAGCUUAGGGCAAGUGGAUGUGGAUGCUUUGCGCUUUAGCAAUCAUCUUAAAAUGAUAGUGUGUGCCCCAGUCAGUCUGAUUGGUUAACCAAAGUGCAACAGAUUUAUCUAUUACGCUCUGGCUUUCAAAUCUGGACUUGUUGGGAUUCCUACUCAAAUUCUUAACAGUCGCCACGUCAAAUGAUGUGGUUCCUGAUAACUUGGUCUGAAAUCGGGCAAGAAAACCCGCUGAACUUAA
rnacentral:misc_RNA from 1 species